AAAUCUGCAUGACCGGAAGGGUAGUUAUAAACGCGGCAUCAAAGCGCGGUGAGUCUCCCGAGCAGCCUUGACACCCGUCUGUACGUAGAGGACCCUGGUUGUUUCCCGCCUGACGCCGCCGGGACCAAAAGGAAAAAGGAUUUGGUUGUUCCUUGUAUCGAAUAAAGAAGCUGUGUGUCAAAUUA